UAAAUAUACCAAAUCGAGAUAAAUGAAUUUCAGUAGUCAUCCUCUAUCCAUUAAGUCGAAUUAUUUUACCUCUGUUGGAAACAUUUUAGCAAUCAAAACUGGGUAUCUUUUUAUGUUUAGAGGAAAAAAUUAGGGCUCAGAUUUUGAGAGUAGAAAAGAGGAAGUGAGAUCUUGAGGAAGCCUUUGUUUGAAGGUCAUUCAGAUAAACUUUCGUUUUUUUAAUUGGUCAUCUUCUUUGGGAUGCUGUGUUUAUAGGUGAGAUCAUGUGAUGAUGGAGAAGGUCACCAGAGCCAGGCACCUUGUCCACACACAGGGCUUCCUUCCUCCACGACUUAACCAAGAGAUGUAGACGGCGGGGUCAACAUUAAAUACCACAAAUAGGCAAAAGAGCUUCAGACAGGAGGAUCGUCUCCCUGAAGACAAAGUAUCUUUUGUUUUGGAAUGGGACUCUGCACUAUGGGAUUUCUAGCGGAGACGAGAGUUACCAGAGUCAGCACUGGAGGAACUUGUUUGGAAUUGAGCCUUGAUUCUGAAAAGAAAGUAUCAGAGGGCAGCAUUUGAACUGGCAUUUAAGGUGUCAACCAGGGAAAAUUUGGUGCUGACCAGUAAAAGGAGAAAAUCCCAAACAGAAGCUCCAUCACCAGGGACAGGGCCAGACUCCUGACUCCGUGGAUGUGCUGAAUCAUUCGGAUACUUUCCAGAAAAUUAUUUUACCUACUCAGAAGGCUGGGCAUCAGCCAAAACAUGCUGGAAAACCACAAGGAAAGACAUUUCUAUGAAGUAACUAGAGUUUUCGGGCUUCUACUCUAGAGGAAUAUAAGAGGAACUUUCUUUAAAGAGUGUGCAGGUGGUUCCUUUUAAGCUCACCUGUCUGAUUUUUCAAACAGAUCAAGGGGUGAUGGCAGGGAAAUGUCUCCCCUGGGAAUCUCACCCCUCCAUUUGCUAAAGAGAAGGAGCUUCAAUCCCUUGACAGGAUGAUGAAGAA